UACAGAGGUCUCAAGCGUUGUUCGGAUUCAUUGGGCGUAAAGGGUGCGUAGGCGGCGCGGUAAGUCGGGUGUGAAAUCUCGGAGCUUAACUCCGAAACUGCAUUCGAUACUGCCGUGCUUGAGGACUGGAGAGGAGACUGGAAUUUACGGUGUAGCGGUGAAAUGCGUAGAUAUCAGGAGGAACACCAGCGGCGAAGGCGGCGCUCUGGGCCGAAUACUGAC
rnacentral:rRNA from 1 species